rnacentral:rRNA from 1 species
GACGAACGCUGGCGGCGUGCUUAACACAUGCAAGUCGAACGGAAAGGCCCUGCUUUUGUGGGGUGCUCGAGUGGCGAACGGGUGAGUAACACGUGAGUAACCUGCCCUUGACUUUGGGAUAACUUCAGGAAACUGGGGCUAAUACCGGAUAGGAGCUCCUGCUGCAUGGUGGGGGUUGGAAAGUUUCGGCGGUUGGGGAUGGACUCGCGGCUUAUCAGCUUGUUGGUGGGGUAGUGGCUUACCAAGGCUUUGACGGGUAGCCGGCCUGAGAGGGUGACCGGCCACAUUGGGACUGAGAGACGGCCCAGACUCCUACGGGAGGCAGCAGUGGGGAAUAUGGCACAAUGGGCGGAAGCCUGAUGCAGCAACGCCGCGUGCGGGAUGACGGCCUUCGGGUGGUAAACCGCUUUCGCCUGUGACGAAGCGUGAGUGACGGUAAUGGGGAAAGAAGCACCGGCUAACUACGU